rnacentral:lncRNA from 1 species
AUGAUGCUCCAUGUAGUUGAAUUUGUCACCAAUAAAACCGUAGCAGUGGUGCCCCAAAGUUGGUACGAGGAUGGUUGUGCAUCGUGGCCAACUUAUAACAGUGACAAAAGAAUAAUUAGGGCAAUAAAACAUGGAGAGGAGCCACAGGAUGACUUGCAGACACAUGAUGUCAGAAUCAUCAAAUCAUCUGAUUCUUACAUUGAGGCACAUCAAUUCCUGAAGAAGGCUCUGACAAGUAGCACCUUGGACCUCCAAACUGAGUAUGAACAGGAACGGCCUGGGAGAAGGAGAACAUCAGCGAAACAUUUCUUUGGUGACACUGAUAUAGAGGAGGACUACCGACCCCCAAAGAGGUCCAAAUCCGGGUCUUCUGCUGGGACAAGUCACCAACUCCCUGCAAAUAGUCCAGAGAUCUGUCAAAUGUUUGGCAGAACUGCCCCUCCCCAACCACAAACACUCCUCUCUCAACCUGCGCAAUGCAACCAGCAACAACGGGGGCCAGAGGAGCCAAGCCAGGUCUACAGACCUACCUGGAGAGGUGGGAGACAUGGCCCAGAAACCAUUCCCUGCUCUGCUGCUCAGGUCCACAUUUUAAGCCUGCUGGAGCACAUUAAGCAGCAGGAGGACCAGCUGGUGGCCAAGGUCAAUCACCUGAGCAGCAGGGUGCUCAACACCUCAAGAGCCAGAGUGUCCUGA